AUGGCUUACAGUCCCUCGGGGGAGCCUGAGAAGGGAAUGCUGCUGGCUGUCCCCAGCCUUGGCCACAUCGGGCCCCCUGGUUCCCUCUGCUGGUUGGUGGGCUCCCCAGGUCCAUGCGUUUGCCAGGAGCUGACAAGAGCAUGGGGACUUCAGAGAUUCAGAAACAUCCAAUCAUCCCAGCAUUCCUCGAUAGAGCUCAGCUCCAGAGAGCUCAGAGUGCAGUGGAAGGAGAGGCCAGUUCCGCCCCUGCCAGAAGGAUGUCCCGAAGAAGGCUCAACACCACAUGCUGACUCCAGGACUGUGAAAGGGCCCCUGGGUGCCCUGGAAAUACUGAGCAGCCAGAACCACAAGAGGGCGACAGUGCUCCAUCUUCUGUGA
rnacentral:lncRNA from 12 species